rnacentral:misc_RNA from 1 species
AAGGAUCAUUACUGAAUUGUCAACAAGAGUUGUUGCUGGUCCCCAAACGGGGACACGUGCACGCUCUGUUAACACAUCCACUCACACCCUGUGCACCCUCUGUAGUUCUAUGGUUGGGGGGGACUUGUCCUCUCCUGCUGUGGUUCUGCAUCUUUACAUACACACUGUAACAAAGUCUCAUGGAAUGCAUGCCGCGUUUAACGCAAUAAAAUACAACUUUCAGCAACGGAUCUCUUGGCUCUC